UCUUUUAUCAAAAACAUUGAAAACCCUAGCUAUAAUUCCUUUUGCAGAUGAUGAGGUAAUGGAGGUAGACGAUGUUCUUCUCGAUCUUGUUACCAACAAUUUAUAUUCAAUAACAUAUAGAGAAUGAGAAAUCAUGUGUAUGGCACGCUACUGAUUACUCUGAUGGUGAAUUGAAAGAACAGUUGUUUUGUGUUCGAUUUGCAUCCACCGAGAUACCUGAAUACUACCUAAGGUUGCGCAUCAAAGUUUGGGGUACUGGUACAUUCUUUGGUGCCGGUGUAUCUUAUUUGCAAACAAAGCUAGAUGCAGGAAG